GACGAACGCUGGCGGCGUGCUUAACACAUGCAAGUCGAACGGAAAGGCCCUGCUUUUGUGGGGUGCUCGAGUGGCGAACGGGUGAGUAACACGUGAGUAACCUGCCCUUGACUUUGGGAUAACUUCAGGAAACUGGGGCUAAUACCGGAUAGGAGCUCCUGCUGCAUGGUGGGGGUUGGAAAGUUUCGGCGGUUGGGGAUGGACUCGCGGCUUAUCAGCUUGUUGGUGGGGUAGUGGCUUACCAAGGCUUUGACGGGUAGCCGGCCUGAGAGGGUGACCGGCCACAUUGGGACUGAGAUACGGCCAAGACUCCUACGGGAGGCAGCAGUGGGGAAUAUUGCACAAUGGGCGGAAGCCUGAUGCAGCAAGGCCGCGUGCGGGAUGACGGCCUUCGGGUUGUAACCCGCUUUCGCCUGUGACGAAGCGUGAGUGACGGUAAUGGGUAAAGAAGCACCGGCUAACUACGUG
rnacentral:rRNA from 1 species